AUGUGUGGCCCCAUCCUGCUGCCAGCCCUGCUCCCCUUGGGUGAGGGGACGGAUCCUGCCCACCGCCCCCAGGAUGCAGGCAGGGGCUGUGUUCGUGCUGGGUGCUGCCGCCGGCUCCCAGCCCCCAUAAAGUUCUCGGUGCCACCGAAGCUGCCUGGGCUCAUUUCUAAGCUGCGUUGCGGGGGGACGGUGACAAUUCCUGUGGCUCUCACACCCCUGUGGCCAGCUCGGGGAGGGGCUGUCCUGACCCCUGUCCUGUCCCCACAUCCCCAUGAGGAUGCAGCAGUUGCCAGCCAGGGUGCUCCCCAUGCAGGAGCAGGGAAACUGAGGCAGGAGGAGGGGGGACCACCCUCCCCACCCUGCAGGACAGCCAGCAGCCCCAUGCAAGGGAAUAACACACCACAAACGUGCAGCAAAGGCAAGGUUUAUUUGACAGCCAAGCAUGGGAUGGGGACAGCCAUGGCCCCUUGGUCGGGGCAGCACUGGGGACAAGGGGACAGUGCCUGUGACACAGAGGUGAGGUGGGCACCACAACACCAGGACAUGGGGGGACAACACAGACCAGCCAGGAGGGGUGACAAGUGCCCAUUUUUACAAUGGGUAUUGUGGUCCUCAAAACACAUUCAGAGCACCCAGCCUGGGGCACUUGGCUGUGUCCAAAGCCCUGGGACAGGCGCGAGGGCUCACAGGGCUCAGCCCCUGGUUUGGUUUCACCGGGAUGGGCACCGAGCACUGGAUACAACCAGAGCCCAGCGCAGACUGCAGGGCUGCCACCUCCUGGAGGGGCUGAGCUCCAGGGAGGAAGAUCACCCGAUCCCCACAUCCAUGGGAACGGGACAAGCAGCAACAGGUCUGGGGAAGGAAGAAAGAAAGAUCCCAGCAAGAGAUUUGGGUAAAAAACUUCCCAAGGAAGGACUGGAGGAGGUAGGGGUGGAGGCACCAUCACAAGGGGCUUGGGGAACAGGACGGGCAGGAGAUGCCAGCGUGGCUCCUGGGUGGGGAGCAGCCACCAACUCCUGA
rnacentral:lncRNA from 1 species